rnacentral:rRNA from 1 species
GGGGUGCUCGAGUGGCGAACGGGUGAGUAACACGCGAGUAACCUGCCCUUGACUUUGGGAUAACUUCAGGAAACUGGGGCUAAUACCGGAUAGGAGCUCCUGCUGCAUGGUGGGGGUUGGAAAGUUUCGGCGGUUGGGGAUGGACUCGCGGCUUAUCAGCUUGUUGGUGGGGUAGUGGCUUACCAAGGCUUUGACGGGUAGCCGGCCUGAGAGGGUGACCGGCCACAUCGGGACUGAGAUACGGCCCAG